rnacentral:miRNA from 1 species
UCCCUCUUGGUCGAUGAGAGUGUACACUCUCAUUGACCGAGAGUGAUUCCUCUCGGCCGGUGAGAGUAUAGUACACUCUCAUUGACCGAGAGUGAUUCCUCUCAGCCGGUGAGAGUAUACACUCUCAUCGACCGAGAGGGA